CUUUUAUUUUAUUUUU
rnacentral:sRNA from 1 species